GCUCAACCGGGGAGGGUCAUUGGAAACUGGGAAACUUGAGUGCAGAAGAGGAGAGUGGAAUUCCACGUGUAGCGGUGAAAUGCUAAGAGAUGUGGAGGAACACCAGUGGCGAAGGCGACUCUCUGGUCUGUAACUGACGCUGAGGAGCGAAAGCGUGGGGAGCGAACAGGAUUAGAUACCCUGGUAGUCCACGCCGUAAACGAUGAGUGCUAAGUGUUAGGGGGUUUCCGCCCCUUAGUGCUGCAGCUAACGCAUUAAGCACUCCGCCUGGGGAGUACGGUCGCAAGACUGAAACUCAAAGGAAUUGACGGGGGCCCGCACAAGCGGUGGAGCAUGUGGUUUAAUUCGAAGCAACGCGAAGAACCUUACCAGGUCUUGACAUCCUCUGACAACCCUAGAGAUAGGGCUUUCCCUUCGGGGACAGAGUGACAGGUGGUGCAUGGUUGUCGUCAGCUCGUGUCGUGAGAUGUUGGGUUAAGUCCCGCAACGAGCGCAACCCUUGAUCUUAGUUGCCAGCAUUCAGUUGGGCACUCUAAGGUGACUGCCGGUGACAAACCGGAGGAAGGUGGGGAUGACGUCAAAUCAUCAUGCCCCUUAUGACCUGGGCUACACACGUGCUACAAUGGACAGAACAAAGGGCUGCAAGACCGCAAGGUUUAGCCAAUCCCAUAAAUCUGUUCUCAGUUCGGAUCGCAGUCUGCAACUCGACUGCGUGAAGCUGGAAUCGCUAGUAAUCGCGGAUCAGCAUGCCGCG
rnacentral:rRNA from 1 species